UACGAAGGGUGCAAGCGUUACUCGGAAUUACUGGGCGUAAAGCGUGCGUAGGUGGUUCGUUAAGUCUGAUGUGAAAGCCCUGGGCUCAACCUGGGAAUGGCAUUGGAUACUGGCGAUCUAGAGUGCGGUAGAGGGCAGUGGAAUUCCCGGUGUAGCAGUGAAAUGCGUAGAGAUCGGGAGGAACAUCUGUGGCGAAGGCGACUGCCUGGACCAGCACUGACACUGAAGCACGAAAGCGUGGGGAGCAAACAGG
rnacentral:rRNA from 1 species